CAGGGUUUAGGGGCCGUUGCUGUGGAUGGAGAGACGGGAGCGUGAGCGGCCAUUGAGGGUGGACAGGGUGCUGGUGAGCAACCCCCAUCUGCUCGGUGUGCGGGCUGAGCUUCGAUGGAGGACCAAAUGAUGGGGCACAACAAGGAGAAGCGUUAUGUGUGCGACGUGUGUGGCAAGGCCUGGCAGUACCCAUGCCAUCUGGAGACCCACCGGCGGGUGCACACAGGAGAACGCCCCUUCGACUGCUGGGAGUGCGGCAGGAGCUUCAAGACGGCGCAGGUACUGAAGACCCACCGGCUGAUGCACACAGGAGAGCGCCCCUUCAGUUGCUCCGACUGCGGCAAGAGCUUCAAGACGCCGCAGGAGGUGAAGAUCCACCGGCGGGUGCA